GUGGACAUCUAUAUAUUGGACAUCUAUAUUGUACGUUACAUGACACGUACAAUAUAGAUGUCCAAUAUAUAGAUGUCCACA
rnacentral:miRNA from 1 species